ACGAACGCUGGCGGCGUGCUUAACACAUGCAAGUCGAACGGAAAGGCCCUGCUUUUGUGGGGUGCUCGAGUGGCGAACGGGUGAGUAACACGUGAGUAACCUGCCCUUGACUUUGGGAUAACUUCAGGAAACUGGGGCUAAUACCGGAUAGGAGUUCCUGCUGCAUGGUGGGGGUUGGAAAGUUUCGGCGGUUGGGGAUGGACUGGCGGCUUAUCAGUUUGUUGGUGGGGUAGUGGCUUACCAAGGCUUUGACGGGUAGCCGGCCUGGGAGGGGGGCCGGCCACAUGAGGAUUGAGAGACGGCGCAGGCGGGAAUGGGAGGCAGAGGGGGGAAGUAUGGAGGAACGGCGGAGAGCGAGAGGCGGCGGCGCGGGGAGCGGGAAGACGGCUUUCGGGUGAAAAACAGUUGUGGCAGGAACCGAGGCGUGAGGGAGGGUAAUGAAUAAGAAAGCAAGGGCUAACUACGGG
rnacentral:rRNA from 1 species